rnacentral:rRNA from 1 species
UCGGGGUGCAGCAGGCGCGAAAACUUUACAAUGCGGGAAACCGUGAUAAGGGAACACCGAGUGCCAGCAUCAUAUGCUGGCCGUCCAGAUGUGUAAACUACAUCUGUUAGCAAGGGCCGGGCAAGACCGGUGCCAGCCGCCGCGGUAACACCGGCGGCCCGAGUGGUGACCGUUAUUAUUGGGUCUAAAGGGUCCGUAGCCGGUUUGGCCAGUCCUCCGGGAAAUCUGAUAGCUUAACUGUUAGGCUUUCGGGGGAUACUGCCAGGCUUGGAACCGGGAGAGGUAAGAGGUACUACAGGGGUAGGAGUGAAAUCUUGUAAUCCCUGCGAGACCACCUGUGGCGAAGGCGUCUUACCAGAACGGGUUCGACGGUGAGGGACGAAAGCUGGGGGCACGAACCGGAUUAGAUACCCGGGUAGUCCCAGCCGUAAACUAUGCUCGCUAGGUGUCAGGCAUGGCGCGACCGUGUCUGGUGCCGCAGGGAAGCCGUGAAGCGAGCCACCUGGGAAGUACGGCCGCAAGGCUGAAACUUAAAGGAGUUGGCGGGGGAGCACAACAACGGGUGGAGCCUGCGGUUUAAUUGGACUCAACGCCGGACAACUCACCGGGAACGACAGCAAUAUGUAGGCCAGGCUGAAGACCUCGCCUGAAUCGCUGAGAGGAGGUGCAUGGCCGUCGCCAGUUCGUACUGUGAAGCAUCCUGUUAAGUCAGGCAACGAGCGAGACCCGUGCCCACUGUUACCAGCAUAUCCUCCCGGGAUGAUGGGUACUCUGCGGGGACCGCUGAUGUUAAUCAGAGGAAGGUGCGGGCUACGGUAGGUCAUAUGCCCCGAAUUUCCCGGCUACACGCGGCUACAUGAAUGGGACAUGGGCCCUACCUGAAAAGGUUGUAUUUCACAACCAUCCGAAUUCGAUGGG